rnacentral:rRNA from 1 species
AGUGAACGCUGGCGGUAGGCCUAACACAUGCAAGUCGAACGGCAGCACAGUAAGAGCUUGCUCUUACGGGUGGCGAGUGGCGGACGGGUGAGGAAUACAUCGGAAUCUACUUUUUCGUGGGGGAUAACGUAGGUAAACUUACGCUAAUACCGCAUACGCCCUACGGGUGAAAGCAGGGGAUCUUCGGACCUUGCGCGAUUGAAUGAGCCGAUGUCGGAUUAGCUAGUUGGCGGGGUAAAGGCCCACCAAGGCGACGAUCCGUAGCUGGUCUGAGAGGAUGAUCAGCCACACUGGAACUGAGACACGGUCAAGACUCCUAAGGGAGGCAGCAGUGGGGAAUAUUGGACAAUGGGCGCAAGCAUGAUCCAGCCAUACCGCGUGGGUGAAGAAGGCCUUCGGGUUGUAAAGACCUUUUGUUGGGAAAGAAAAGCAGCAGGUUAAUACCCCGCUGUUCUGACGGUACCCAAAGAAUAAGCACCGGCUAACUUCGUG